CCCACACCUACUAUCUCCCUGAGCAGUGCAACAGGUGAAGGGAAGAAAAAGAGGAAGAGAGGCUGCUGAAAAUGUUUGAAGCAAAAAAUAUUUCACUACAAUGAAAUAAAAGAAACAACUAAAGGAGGGAAGAGAAGAGGUAAAAGUGAGCUGGCUGCCUUGUUCCUCAUGUGGCAAAACUUGGGAAGACACCUGGGAGCCUGCCAGCAACUUUAUAGGCUCCAUUUAAUGUUUUUGUUUGUGUGUCUUUAAGACACCUGUAUGUUGAAUGUUG